rnacentral:lncRNA from 1 species
CCUCCUCGCCAGCAGCCGUCCGGAGCCAGCCAACGAGCGGUGAGCUGCGCGGGCUCCAUGAUGCGUUAUCUGGGUCUGGAAACCCAAACCCUCAAGGAUGGCCUGGCGCAUGGGGGAACCAGCCUGCUGGGGCAGGGGGCUACCCAGGGGCUUCCUAUCCUGGGGCCUACCCCGGGCAGGCACCCCCAGGGGCUUAUCCUGGACAGGCACCUCCAGGCGCCUACCCUGGAGCACCUGGAGCUUAUCCCGGAGCACCUGCACCUGGAGUCUACCCAGGGCCACCCAGCGGCCCUGGGGCCUACCCAUCUUCUGGACAGCCAAGUGCCACCGGAGCCUACCCUGCCACUGGCCCCUAUGGCGCCCCUGCUGGGCCACUGAUUGUGCCUUAUAACCUGCCUUUGCCUGGGGGAGUGGUGCCUCGCAUGCUGAUAACAAUUCUGGGCACGGUGAAGCCCAAUGCAAACAGAAUUGCUUUAGAUUUCCAAAGAGGGAAUGAUGUUGCCUUCCACUUUAACCCACGCUUCAAUGAGAACAACAGGAGAGUCAUUGUUUGCAAUACAAAGCUGGAUAAUAACUGGGGAAGGGAAGAAAGACAGUCGGUUUUCCCAUUUGAAAGUGGGAAACCAUUCAAAAUACAAGUACUGGUUGAACCUGACCACUUCAAGGUUGCAGUGAAUGAUGCUCACUUGUUGCAGUACAAUCAUCGGGUUAAAAAACUCAAUGAAAUCAGCAAACUGGGAAUUUCUGGUGACAUAGACCUCACCAGUGCUUCAUAUACCAUGAUAUAAUCUGAAAGGGGCAGAUUAAAAAAAAAAAAAGAAUCUAAACCUUACAUGUGUAAAGGUUUCAUGUUCACUGUGAGUGAAAAUUUUUACAUUCAUCAAUAUCCCUCUUGUAAGUCAUCUACUUAAUAAAUAUUACAGUG